rnacentral:lncRNA from 1 species
UAAAUCUUAAAAAAAAAAGAAAGAAAGAAAGAAAGAAAAAAAGAAAGAAAGAAAGAAAGAAAGAAAGAAAGAAAGAAACUCUUAGCUUACAUUAUAGUUUAUAAACACUUCAUUUAGGAAACUAUUGUGGGAGUGUAAUGUUAAUUUCCCUGGUGAUAUUUAAGUAUCCCAUAUAUACUUGUUACAGUUUUCUUCCUGUAUCUCUGGUAGGGAAAAUCUGUUAAGAAUUGACCUUUCCCUUUUGUUAUUGUAUUAGUGAUGACAGAUUGUGUUCCAGGCAUGGUGCAAGAGACUGACAGAUAGAAAAACAUGCAUCUUUUUCUGAUUGAGCCAACAGGGCAAUAUGAAUAAGGAGAUUUCUAACCUUGAAAGACUCUGUGAUAUUUUGCAGCAAGGGUGGUAACCCAGAAGAUUUUCUUUCACUGCAAAACAAAGGGUCAUUCCUCUGAAGAUAUUUCACAUAUCCUGGUUUUAAAUGUUGUUUAGAAGAGGAAAAGAUUCUACAGCUUAAGCAGGAUGGCUUCAGCAUUCUGAGCUGUAUUCCUCAAGCUGUGUUGUGCUCUGGUAAAUACUCACAAAUCUUUAUUAUUGCCAUAUGUUUGGAAAGAAAGAUUGAAGAGUUAUUAGUUUCUCAUUCUCUAAAACAUUCUGUUUGUUUUUUAAACAUAAUCAGAGUUUUAUAAAGUUAACAUUGUUUUUAGGCAUUUAAAAAUAAAAAUACGCUAAUUUUGGCA